rfam:Schistosoma haematobium scaffold521_22, whole genome shotgun sequence.
GCCCAGCUGACGAGUCUUAAAUAAGACGAAACUCUAUUUCUGGAU